rnacentral:rRNA from 1 species
UAACAAAGAGACCGCUCUCGGGUGACGAGCGGCGGACGGGUGAGUAAUGUCUGGGAAACUGCCUGAUGGAGGGGGAUAACUACUGGAAACGGUAGCUAAUACCGCAUAAUGUCGCAAGACCAAAGUGGGGGACCUUCGGGCCUCAUGCCAUCAGAUGUGCCCAGAUGGGAUUAGCUAGUAGGUGGGGUAACGGCUCACCUAGGCGACGAUCCCUAGCUGGUCUGAGAGGAUGACCAGCCACACUGGAACUGAGACACGGUCCAGACUCCUACGGGAGGCAGCAGUGGGGAAUAUUGCACAAUGGGCGCAAGCCUGAUGCAGCCAUGCCGCGUGUGUGAAGAAGGCCUUCGGGUUGUAAAGCACUUUCAGCGGGGAGGAAGGCGUUAAGGUUAAUAACCUUGGCGAUUGACGUUACCCGCAGAAGAAGCACCGGCUAACUCCGUGCCAGCAGCCGCGGUAAUACGGAGGGUGCAAGCGUUAAUCGGAAUUACUGGGCGUAAAGCGCACGCAGGCGGUCUGUCAAGUCGGAUGUGAAAUCCCCGGGCUCAACCUGGGAACUGCAUUCGAAACUGGCAGGCUAGAGUCUUGUAGAGGGGGGUAGAAUUCCAGGUGUAGCGGUGAAAUGCGUAGAGAUCUGGAGGAAUACCGGUGGCGAAGGCGGCCCCCUGGACAAAGACUGACGCUCAGGUGCGAAAGCGUGGGGAGCAAACAGGAUUAGAUACCCUGGUAGUCCACGCCGUAAACGAUGUCGAUUUGGAGGUUGUGCCCUUGAGGCGUGGCUUCCGGAGCUAACGCGUUAAAUCGACCGCCUGGGGAGUACGGCCGCAAGGUUAAAACUCAAAUGAAUUGACGGGGGCCCGCACAAGCGGUGGAGCAUGUGGUUUAAUUCGAUGCAACGCGAAGAACCUUACCUGGUCUUGACAUCCACAGAACUUAGCAGAGAUGGUUUGGUGCCUUCGGGAACUGUGAGACAGGUGCUGCAUGGCUGUCGUCAGCUCGUGUUGUGAAAUGUUGGGUUAAGUCCCGCAACGAGCGCAACCCUUAUCCUUUGUUGCCAGCGGUUAGGCCGGGAACUCAAAGGAGACUGCCAGUGAUAAACUGGAGGAAGGUGGGGAUGACGUCAAGUCAUCAUGGCCCUUACGACCAGGGCUACACACGUGCUACAAUGGCAUAUACAAAGAGAAGCGACCUCGCGAGAGCAAGCGGACCUCAUAAAGUAUGUCGUAGUCCGGAUUGGAGUCUGCAACUCGACUCCAUGAAGUCGGAAUCGCUAGUAAUCGUAGAUCAGAAUGCUACGGUGAAUACGUUCCCGGGCCUUGUACACACCGCCCGUCACACCAUGGGAGUGGGUUGCAAAAGAAGUAGGUAGCUCAACCAG